rnacentral:rRNA from 1 species
UACGUAGGGUGCAAGCGUUGUCCGGAAUUAUUGGGCGUAAAGAGCUCGUAGGCGGUUUGUCGCGUCGGCUGUGAAAUCCCGAGGCUCAACCUCGGGCCUGCAGUCGAUACGGGCAGACUUGAGUGUUGCAGGGGAGACUGGAAUUCCUGGUGUAGCGGUGAAAUUCGUAGAUAUCGGGAGGAACACCAGUGGCGAAGGCGGCGACCUGGGCCAAUACUGACGCUGAGGUGCGAAAGCGUGGGGAGCAAACAGG